rnacentral:rRNA from 1 species
AACGGCCGCGGUAUACUGACCGGUGCAAAGGUAGCAUAAUCAUUAGUCUUUUAAUAGAGGGCUGGAAUGAAUGGUUUAACGAGGAACUAACUGUCUCAUUUUAUUUGUUUUAAAAUUUAAUUUUUUAGUUAAAAAGCUAAAAUUUUAUUGGAAGACGAGAAGACCCUAUAGAUCUUUAUAAAACUUUUUGUAGUUAUUUUUAUAUUAAUAUAUUUAUAAAAGCUUUUAUUUUGUUGGGGUGACAAAAAUAUAUGAUUAACUUUUUUAUUUAUCUACCAUUGAUAUAUGAAUAUUAGAUCCAUUUUUAGUGAUUGAUAGACUAAGUUACCUUAGGGAUAACAGCGUAAUCCUCCCCCAGAGUUCAUAUUUACGGGAGGGCUUGCGACCUCGAUGUUGGAUUAAGAUAAUAAUUAGGUGUAGCCGCUUAAUAUAUAGGUCUGUUCGAC